rnacentral:rRNA from 1 species
UACAGAGGUGGCAAGCGUUGUUCGGAAUUACUGGGCGUAAAGGGCGCGUAGGCGGCCAUCUAAGUCAGACGUGAAAUCCCCCGGCUUAACCUGGGAACUGCGUCUGAUACUGGAAGGCUCGAGUUUGGGAGAGGGAUGUGGAAUUCCAGGUGUAGCGGUGAAAUGCGUAGAUAUCUGGAGGAAUACCGGUGGCGAAGGCGGCAUCCUGGACCGACAUUGACGCUGAGGAGCGAAAGCUAGGGGAGCAAACGGG